rnacentral:rRNA from 1 species
AGUGAACGCUGGCGGUAGGCCUAACACAUGCAAGUCGAACGGCAGCACAGUAAGAGCUUGCUCUUACGGGUGGCGAGUGGCGGACGGGUGAGGAAUACAUCGGAAUCUACUUUUUCGUGGGGGAUAACGUAGGGAAACUUACGCUAAUACCGCAUACGACCUACGGGUGAAAGCAGUGGAUCUUCGGACCUUGCGCGAUUGAAUGAGCCGAUGUCGGAUUAGCUAGUUGGCGGGGUAAAGGCCCACCAAGGCGACGAUCCGUAGCUGGUCUGAGAGGAUGAUCAGACACACUGGAACUGAGACACGGUCCAGACUCCUACGGGAGGCAGCAGUGGGGAAUAUUGGACAAUGGGCGCAAGCCUGAUCCAGCCAUACCGCGUGGGUGAAGAAGGCCUUCGGGUUGUAAAGCCCUUUUGUUGGGAAAGAAAAGCAGCAGGUUAAUACCCCGCUGUUCUGACGGUACCCAAAGAAUAAGCACCGGCUAACUUCGUG